CAGGUGUGGCCCAAUGAGCACACAGGCUCCCUCAUUACUGCAGGGUUGGCACCAGAGGACAUUUCCUGUGGAAGGAGCAGGCUUCCAGGAGCAUGGGAGAGCCACACUCAGAGCCAGAAAGGGCUCUGUGCUCCCCUGUUAGGUCCAAUGGCCCCCGACUCAGCAAGCAGGUGCUCCUAAUGCAUGCAGAGGUCCCACAGUCAAGGCCAGGCUGGGCCGGGAGGCUGAGCCUGGUCUUGGAGCUGCAGCCAGCUGACUGAUUAGGCUCUCUGAUGGUGGUAAGUGGCUCGUCGUCGUCAUUAACUCAGCCAGAUUAACUCGCUCAGCAGAAGCUGGCGAAGCUGCGUGAGCCUGCCUUUCACGCAGCUUGAUUUAAAGAGAUUGAACUUGGAGGGCACAGAGAGGCAGGCUCCCAGAGGGGGGUCCCAGCCCUGGGAUUAGUUGUCAGAAACCCCAAGGACAAAGAGAAGAACUUUUUACUCCUUUUAAAAAUCUGACCAGUGGUUCUGACCCUCCCUGAGCCGUCUUAGGGGCACAAGUAAGUUGUGCAUUGAGCUCAGUGGAAUUGCCUGCUCCGUGGUGGCCCUCUCCUCGCAGAAGCCUUCUGGACGUCACGUUGCUUUGGGAAGUCCACCCCUCCCGGGAGGCUCUUCUGUGCCAGGACUCGCUGGACAUGGAAGAAGAGGGAGGAAGGUGGGAGGCAGAGCAGAUUUCACAGAGGAGCGCUGUCUGUCAGGCCGCUGCAUGAUGACUCCAGGUGGAGCUGGUGGCAGGAAAGAAGUGGAAGAGAGCAAAGAGAAAAGACGGUGCACAGGUCUCCUAAGAAUGUUUAUGUGUCAGAAAUUCAAUUUGUCUCUUCCACCGCCAUGGGACCUACAGAUGUGUUUAUGGAGAUGUGAGGAAUAUAUUUUGGGGGAGACCCUUUUUAUCUCAUUUCCAACACCUGCUUUAAGCUUCAUGCCUUAGUUCAAGUGGGCCUCGUUGCAGGAGUAAGAGUUACCCCAACAUCUCAGCCGUUUAGCAGAAGUUUGCAUCCUGCUUGCACGAGAGCUCUGAGCCGCCUUUCAAAUUGAGGAGUUUCUUCCACCAAGUCAUUCAGAAACUCAGGUGGCUCUGUCCUUCAACUUGGGACUCCCAUUGGGGCCUGGACGUCUGCCUCCCAGUCAGCUGGACACAGAAAGAGCAUGGAGCAGCGUGUAAGACAUUCUGGAGAUCUGACACUUCACCCCAUGGCUCACCACAGACCACACCCACCAGGAGGGCUGUUGGGAGGUGGAGUCCCGUUGUGCCAGGAAGCAAGGGGCACUGAUCUUGGCAGCUCUCAUGCUAUGUACCCACCUGCUGCGGUAGCACCCUCUGUUGUCCCAGGAGCUGAGGCUGCAGCAGUGGGCAGCCCUUCCUCCUUGCUCACAAUCGUUUAGACUCCAGGAAAGGAAAAAGAAGGGCUAAUGACUGAUGAUAAAAUUAAUUGCAUUUUUGAUAUGGGCUCUAAGGAGAAACCACAGGGCACUCUGAGAGCUGGCAGCUAUCUCUAGGACAAGGUCAAGGGGAGGCAGAGAAGGCUUCUGGGCACAAGUGACAUUUGGCUGGAGUCAGGAAGGUCAGACAGGUUUGGCCACGCAGAUGCUCAGAGCGCAACUUCCAGGAGAGAGAGGGAGGCUGUGUGAGGCGCUGGCAGUUGGUGGAGAGAAGGGGGAAGGAUGGGAGAACGUGUGGGGACAAGACCUGAGACUCCUGUGCUGAGCCCGGAGGUCCCAGGUGUGUGAGCUCAGGGUAGCACUUGGUUCAGAGAGCCAUGGCUUCCCUGUGACUGGUUUACCUUUCCCUCUGUGGUUUUCGGCCUUCUUGAUUUCAGGCUUAUUUAAUAAAAGACAGCUCCUUAAAGUGGAUGUUUGGUGGAGCUCAAGUUCCUCUUCCUCUGCUCUCCUGUGGACCCUCAUGAGCAUGCGUGACAGAGCACAUCUGAGGUCCCCAGCAGGCAGGCCCCAGCCCACAGGAGACAUCAC
rnacentral:lncRNA from 1 species